UACGUAGGGUGCGAACGUUGUUCGGAAUCACUGGGCGUAAAGAGCGCGUAGGCGGUCUGAUAAGUCCUGUGUGAAAGCCCCCGGCUUAACCGGGGAAUUGCACAGGAUACUGUCAGGCUAGAGUGCAGGAGGGGAGAGCGGAAUUCCUGGUGGAGCGGUGAAAUGUGUAGAUAUCAGGAGGAACGCCGGUGGCGAAAGCGGCUCUCUGGUCUGCAACUGACGCUGAGGUGCGAAAGCUAGGGGAGCAAACGGG
rnacentral:rRNA from 1 species